CGGAGUUUGACCAUAAAGCUCAUCCCAGUGUGUAGGGGAGGAUCUCACAUCCUUUAUAGCUCCCUAGUAUCUUUCCUAAGAGAGAUGUGGAAACGAGCAAGGGAUGUCCUUGGCAACCCAUCCCAGAACUGAAGAAUCUUCAUUUCCAAGAAGUCCUUCUCCACAGUCAACUGGAAUCUCUCGGUCUUUCUGUUCAAAGAUUUACAUAUCACCACCAAACGGCUCCAGAAUUUCUACAGCAGAAAAGGAGCUAAGGGAAAAGGGAAGAAAAUAUGAGACAUGGGAGACUUAAUCGGGGCCAGUAGCAUUGUAUUUCCUGAAGGGAUAAUGUAAAAUGCAUCUGGGAGAGACAGACAGAGUGUCCCUGGCAUCUGAAACUAGUCAAGUUACCCUGAGCCUGAAGAUAGUGACUGAGAACCUACACUGAGAUCUGUGCUAGGUCUACACAGAUGAGUGGAUCCUGGUCUCUGCUCUCACGAAGUUAUGUCAAGUUGGGAGGAUGACAGGUAGAUGGAGAUUUACAAGAUGCACAAUCAACAAGACAACUGUCAUAACAGAAUCACAGAACAUGGUGUGACUUCCAGGAACAAGUGUCUGGCAUGGAUAAGGGCUCAGUAAAUGGUAACCAUCA